rnacentral:rRNA from 1 species
AGAGUUUGAUCAUGGCUCAGAGCGAACGCUGGCGGCAGGCUUAACACAUGCAAGUCGAGCGGGCGUAGCAAUACGUCAGCGGCAGACGGGUGAGUAACGCGUGGGAACGUACCUUUUGGUUCGGAACAACACAGGGAAACUUGUGCUAAUACCGGAUAAGCCCUUACGGGGAAAGAUUUAUCGCCGAAAGAUCGGCCCGCGUCUGAUUAGCUAGUUGGUGAGGUAACGGCUCACCAAGGCGACGAUCAGUAGCUGGUCUGAGAGGAUGAUCAGCCACAUUGGGACUGAGACACGGCCCAAACUCCUACGGGAGGCAGCAGUGGGGAAUAUUGGACAAUGGGCGCAAGCCUGAUCCAGCCAUGCCGCGUGAGUGAUGAAGGCCCUAGGGUUGUAAAGCUCUUUUGUGCGGGAAGAUAAUGACGGUACCGCAAGAAUAAGCCCCGGCUAACUUCGUGCCAGCAGCCGCGGUAAUAC